rnacentral:rRNA from 1 species
UACGAAGGGGGCUAGCGUUUUUCGGAAUUACUGGGCGUAAAGCGCACGUAGGCGGAUUCUUAAGUCAGGUGUGAAAUCCCGGGGCUCAACCUCGGAACUGCAUUUGAAACUGGGAAUCUAGAGACCAGGAGAGGUUAGCGGAAUACCGAGUGUAGAGGUGAAAUUCGUAGAUAUUCGGUGGAACACCAGUGGCGAAGGCGGCUAACUGGACUGGUACUGACGCUGAGGUGCGAAAGUGUGGGGAGCAAACAGG